rnacentral:rRNA from 1 species
AUACAGAGGGUGCAAGCGUUAAUCGGAAUUACUGGGCGUAAAGCGCGCGUAGGUGGUUAGUUAAGUUGGAUGUGAAAGCCCUGGGCUCAACCUGGGAAUGGCAUUCAAAACUGGCUGACUAGAGUAUGGUAGAGGGAAGGGGAAUUCCAGGUGUAGCGGUGAAAUGCGUAGAUAUCUGGAGGAACAUCAGUGGCGAAGGCGCCUUCCUGGACUAAUACUGACACUGCGGUGCGAAAGCGUGGGUAGCAAACAAGAUUAGAAACCCUAGUAGUCC